rnacentral:rRNA from 1 species
AGCAGCCGCGGUAAUUCCAGCUCCAAUAGCGUAUAUUAAAGUUGUUGCAGUUAAAAAGCUCGUAGUUGAAUUUCGAGACUGGUUUAUUGGUCGUGCUUUUGUACGUACUGGUAUUAUUGGUUUCUCCUUUCUGACAAAUCAUAAUGCCAUUAAUUUGGUGUUUUGGGGAAUCAGGACUGUUACUUUGAAAAAAUUAGAGUGUUUAAAGCAGGCUCACGCUUGAAUACAUUAGCAUGGAAUAACGGAAUAGGACGUUUGAUUCUAUUUUGUUGGUUUCUAGGAUCGACGUAAUGAUUAAUAGGGAUAGUUGGGGGCAUUAGUAUUCAAUUGUCAGAGGUGAAAUUCUUGGAUUUAUUGAAGACUAACUACUGCGAAAGCAUUUGCCAAGGAUGUUUUCAUUAAUCAAGAACGAAAGUUAGGGGAUCGAAGACGAUCAGAUACCGUCGUAGUCUUAACCAUAAACUAUGCCGACUAGGGAUCGGAUGAUGUUAAUUUUUAAUGACUCAUUCGGCGCCUUACG